CAAAGGAAUUGACGGGGACCCGCACAAGCAGCGGAGCGUGUGGUUUAAUUCGUUGCUACACGAAGAACCUUACCUGGGUUUGACAUAUAGGUUGUAGGGAACUGAAAAGGGACCGGCCCUUCGGGAGCCUAUACAGGUGUUGCAUGGCUGUCGUCAGCUCGUGUCGUGAGAUGUUCGGUUAAGUCCGCUAACGAGCGCAACCCUCGUCGUAUGUUAUAUGUGUCAUACGAGACUGCCGGUAAAAGCCGGAGGAAGGUGAGGAUGAUGUCAAGUCAGCAUGACCUUUAUAUCCAGGGCUACACACACGCUACAAUGGUCUGUACAAUGGGUAACCAAGCCGCGAGGCGGAGCCAAUCCUGAAAGCAGGCCUCAGUUCAGAUUGCAGUCUGCAACUCGACUGCAUGAAGCCGGAGUUGCUAGUAACCGCAGGUCAGCAAUACUGCGGUGAAUACGUUCCCGGGUCUU
rnacentral:rRNA from 1 species